UUCUUUAAACUUUUCACCACCCUUGCUAACCCAAGUAGCUGCUUCCAUCAUUGAAGUAGUUUCCCUUGCCCUUAACCAAACCUUUCUUUCGAGCCCUGUUAUAUAUCGUGUGCGAUUGUGAGGCCUGUUUCAGGAUUGAGCUUGGAAGAAAGUGUUAGGUUUGAGCCGACAAGAGUAGUGUCUCAUGUAGUUCUAGUCCACGUUUUCUGGGCUAGAUAGGACAAGGUGGGUGUCUAUUCUUGAAGUGGGGAUCGAGUAUAUGAGAAAAUAAGAGAGAAAGGAAAUGUUGAUGUUCUUAGGAGAAGGAAGUUGAGAAACAAGUUAGUCUAGUAAUGGAUUUUGGGGAACUAAAAAAAAAAUAGGCUCACAACAAAAGAAAAAAAGUCUAGAAAAGUCUUGAUCACAAGAAGAUAACAUGAGCCAUAGUUGUCAAAGAAAACCAAAGUCCACUAGAUCCAACAAAGUAAAAGAAACUUCUCCUUAGAAUAAGAGUCAAAGAAAAGAAAGAGUGGUUUGAUCCAAGAUAAGAAUGAGAAAAAAAUGCCUUGAGUGCAAAGGGUAGAACUAGGAUCAUAUUCUGGGCUUAAGGGUAGUACCAUCUGCUGGUGUAUACACUGUGUAUGUUUUUGGGUAGAUGGGAUACUAUUCUUGUAUGCAUAGGUUGGCUCUUACCUUUAGCAUUCUCCUAAAGCUCAGUCCAUUUCUUUUCAGAGUCCCCUGUUACUAAACUUGAACCACCAGAAAGGGACCAUCUGUGUCUCUUGACCUUCACCUUAGCCAAAUGAGUUCAUUGAUGAUGCAUAGCUUGAUUCACGUUCCUAAUCUAAUGAAUGUUAAAGGGAUUGGUAGAUUUGAAAGCAUGUGUAGGUCGAGUAUAAGAGUGGGAUUGAACUAUAAUAAGGCAUGGCUAACGUUUUUGAGUAGAGUUCGAUAAUAUGGCAUCCUAGAACUGCCAACUUGGACAUUGAUUCUAUCUGAUUUAUUUGAUGCUUUGGUUCUGAAUCCCCACCUUCAAACCUCUCCUUCAGCUUAUGUCUACUUGUUUGCUUGAGGGCAAGCAAAGACUAAGUUUGGAGGAGUUGAUAUGUGUAUAAUUUGCAUGUUUUACACAUCCUUUAAUCACCAUUUUGAGUCUAGUUUCAUCCAUCUUUCAUAGCAUUCACCAUCAUUUUCGUACAUUUUGCAUCUUUAGUCGAGUCUAGGACUAAUCUUGCAUACAUUCUACAUUCUGGAGUUGUUUCAGGUGUUUUGGAGCUAUUGGUGCUCAGAAAGAGGGAAAACAGAACAGAAAGUCACACUUCCACCAAACAUACUCGAUCACCAGUAGCUGAGAGGGAAGUAGUCAGCUAAGCAGUCCAUCCAGACACUUCUACUCGAUCAUAGAGGAGACUAGGCAGUCCAUUCUGCCAGAUAUACUCGACCGCAGAGGAGAGGAGGCAAUCCAUUCUACAAUUCUACUCUAUCGCAGAGGCGACCAUGCAGUCCACUUUGCCAGUCCACCAGUUAUACUCGAUCGUAGAGGUGAAGAACCAGUACAUCCUGACUGCUGACACACUUACUCGAUCACAGAGGCCAAGAAGCAGCCCAGAUCAUUCUGUCAACCAACCUACUCGACCACCACCUUGACCCUCUUAUCAAUCCGCACUCAACCAGACAACCUGAGCAUCGAAAAGAGAAGAGAAGAGAAGGCCCAUUCGAAGCCCAUUCGAAACCCAUUCGAAGCCCAUCAAGAAGCCCACUUUGAGCCGACACUCUUGAUCACGCCGUUCAUGGGCCGUUAAGUGGGCUCGAAGCCCGCUUUCUUAUUUUAGUAUAAAUAAGUCUCUAAGGGUUUCGCCCUGGGACAUGCACUUUUAGAGACACGAAUUUUGCACUAUUAUUCAGCAGCCGCUUUUCAUUCCUGCAAUUUUAUAUUUCGAUUUUUCUUCUAAGUCAUUCAGAUUUUGCUUUCAUUUGCUUGUUCAUCUUUCGUUUCUAUGUUAUUGUCUUUAAGCAUGUUGUCAGAGUAGUGACUCAGAAUUCUUAAGGAUGGGUUAGAGUAGUUGUGGAAUCCGUAGUCUGUAGAAUGGUUAAGUCUUAGAAUUGAUUGAAUCCCUUCAGGACUAGUUGUGUUUACUGCUUAUUUCUUUCUAAUCAACUGGAAUUCGAUCCCAAGCAUUCCCGCACCCAGAAGGUGUUCUAUGGAAUGCUUGAUCCACUAGUUCCUGAGAUAUUCGUCUCUAUCCCAAGGGAUUGGCCGUUUAGAGCGUUUAUUGACUUUAUCAGUCUGUUCUUAUUGCCUGCAUAAUUAGAUUCCGUUAAUGGGAAUUAGUCUGGGCUAGCUUUGCUUGAGGAUUUCUAUCAAGGGAGUGAAUUGAUCUGUUGUUGAACCUGUUGUCUAGGGAUACCUUGAUUGCGCUUGUUAACCAUUCGGAUAGGCUAGGAUACCACUCUAUUCGAUUACCCCAUCCUUAGGAAUUUCUCGUCUAUCUGAUUUCUCUGUUUUAUCGUUAUCGCUUAUUCGUUCUCAUUGCCUGUUUCUUCGUUUUUGCAAUUACUCGAUCAACUUACUUGACCACACCCAGUGUCUGGUAACAGACUGUGCAGUCGAGUACAGUUGUCUCAUUUCCUGUCUGUUACUCGACCAGAAUACUCGACCACACCCAGUGUCUGGCAACAGACUAUGCAGUCAAGUAUAUCUGUUUCAUAUCCUGUCUGUUACUCGACCACAUCCUACUUCUGGCAUCAGCCUGUUGUGGUCGAGUGAUUUUAGUAAUUCUAUUAUUGUUUCUGUUUUCUGCAUGUUCGCUUAGGACUGUUAGAAACCCCAAAACUGUUAUUGCUUGGCUUGACUUAGUGACUUUUGAUCACAUCUCAUCUGUUUGCAUCACACCCAUUUGGAUUGACACCUAAAAUACUACAACGACAUGAUUGGUGUUUUAGGAUAAUUGACCAUAAAAAACUACUAUCAGAUAACUCCCAAAGAUUUAAUCUAAUCCUUCUCAAAACUAAAUAACUU
rnacentral:sRNA from 1 species